UCAGCAAAUUCCGGCCACCAUUGACUCUUUGUUCACCGUUGGAUCGGGCUGAAAUUUUGUCAGCAGGUUCAUACUUUAUGUGACUUCAAUCUGACCGUUCGGAUCUUGCAGAAGUUGUUUGAGCAGAGAUAAAUUCAUCUCACACUGCAGCAGCGUUUUUCAGCGUUUCUUUUUGAGAACGGGGAUUUUAUGGAUCGGGUUGAAAUUUUGUCAACAGGUUCAUACCUCGUGGUUCUUCAGUUUGACCGUUCGGUUUAUUCAAAAGUCACUUGAACAGUGACAUAUAGACCGCGUACGGUAACUGCAGUUUGUGAAUUUUUCAGGUUCCUUGUUCUCUGUUUUCAUCUCUGUUGUAUUGUUAUUUGGCUGAUUAUUGAGCACGAGUUGUGCUGUAAUUUGAGACUCUAUGUGUAACCUAAUUUGAUCAUAGUGGAGUUU
rnacentral:lncRNA from 1 species